rnacentral:lncRNA from 1 species
AAAGACGUCAUCAUCCGAAACGUACUGCGCAUGUCAGGUUGGUUGACAACAAGAACUGCAUGACCUGAAACAAUAGCUAGGAAAAACACUCGUUUUCUGGUAAGACGUACAAUAUUAAUUUCACCGUAGAAUAAAUAGUUAGUAUGCUGUUAAAUACAUUUUAUUCCAGCGCAUAUAGCAAACAAGCUUGACCUGCUUUGCUGAUGCUAGCUAGCAGCGGGUGGGUAUGCUUUGGAACGCUCCGACAGAAAUCUGUUCCAAAAACUAAGUAAAUAACAAGGUUAUAUAGCGGCAGAAUAAGAUACCGGCUAGGGGGUGGGCGAAUUGAGCAUGCUACUUUAUAUGCGUUGUUUGUUGGCAACCUUGUACUUUACCAAGUUUUUGGAACAGAUUCCUAUUGGAACGUUCCACAAAUUAUACCCACCCGCUAACAGCUGCUAUCGUUAGCUAGCCUCCUAACGUUAACCUUUUGCUUCCAUUUUUUGCUGGCUAGUUAGCCAGCUUAUGUUAUGAUUCGUUUAUUUAUUAGCUAACUUAGUUUACAAACCAGUCGACAGUCAACUGACUUUCUUGCUCACUGAUGAGUGAUUUUAAUUAGUUAACUAGCUAGUUAGCAUAAUUGGCACGAGGAGUGGAGCAGUGAAUUAAACAAAGGUUAACUUGCCCGUUUGUUAGCCAAAGCCCGUUAUCAUGUUAGCUAGCGUACCUAGUUAUAGAACCUGUAGCUAGCUAUAGACCUUGUUAUUUGGCAAUUUCUUGUUGACUUGAAGAAGCCAGCCUGCCAAUGUUACCCAAUCAAUGUCUAGAUGGCUACCUAACAUAUAUUUCUGUCUUAGUUUGUCAAAUCCCUAUUGAUAGCUACGAGCACGGCAUUUGUUGGCCAACCCUCCUGGAGAGCUACUGCUGAGUGUACAGUAGAGGCUUAUUUAUCUAGCCCUGUUCUAAUAGGCAUCCAGUAAGACAACAUAUAGGAUGAAGGCCGUCACUUAGUUAACCAACAUUUUUGAAAACAUUUAUUGUGGGACUUUUCCCAACAAGGUACUCUUGAAGAAACAAAGGUAAAGUUCAUGAUUUAAAAUGCUGUUAUUAUCGUGGCAUUUCGGAAUGUGUAUAUACAGUUGAAGUUGGAAGUUUACAUACACUUAGGUUGUAGUCAUUAAAACUCUUUUUUUUCAACCACUCCACAAAUUUCUUGUUAAAAACUAUAGUUUUGGCAAGUCGGUUAGGACAUCUACUUUUUGCAUGGCACAAGUAAUUGUUCCAAUAAUUGUUUACAGACAGCUUAUUUCACUUAUUAUUCACUGCAUCACAAUUCCAGGGGGUCAGAAGUUUACAUACACUAAGUUGACUGCCUUUAAACAGCUUAGAAAAUUCCAUAAAAGGAUGUCAUGGCUUUAGGAGCUUCUGAGAGGCCAAUUGACAUAAUUUGAGUCAGUUGGAGGUGUACCUGUUGAUGUAUUUCAAGGCCUACCUUCAAACUCAGUGCCUUUUGCUUGAGAUCAUGGGAAAAUCAAAAGAAAUCAUCCAAGACCUCAGGAAAAAAAUUGUACACCUCCACAAGUCUGGUUCAUCCUUGGGAGCAAUUUCCAAACGCCUGAAGAUACCACGUUCAUCUGUACAAACAAUAGUACACUAGUAUAAACACCUUGGGACCACGCAGCCGUCAUACCGCUCAGGAAGGAGACUCGUUCUGUCUCCUAGAGAUGAAUGUACUUUGGUGCGAAAAUUGCAAAUCAAUCCCAGAACAACAGCAAAGGACCUUGUGAAGAUGCUGGAGGAAACGGGUACAAAAGUGUGUAUGUAUAUAUAUAUAUAUAUAUAUAUGCACGCACGCAGUAAAACGCUCAGCAAAGAAGAAGCCACUACUCCAAACAUCCAUAAAAAAGCCAGACUGGGGAAAAAGAUUGUACUUUUUGGAGAAAUGUCCUCUGGUCUGAUAACAAAAAUAGAACUGUUUGUCUAUAAUGACCAUCGUUAUGUUUGGAGUAAAAAGGGGGAGGCUUGCAAGCCGAAGAACACCAUCCCAACCUGAAGGACGGGGGUGGCAGCAUCAUGUUGUGGGGGUGCUUUGCUGCAGGAGGCAUGUCACAAAAUGGAUGGCAUCAGGAAGGAAAAUUAUGUGGAUAUAUUGAAGCAACAUCUCAAGACAUCAGCCAGGAAGUUAAAACUUGGUCGCAAAUGGGUCUUCCAAAUGCACAAUGACCCCAAGCAUACUUGCAAGCAAAGUUGUGGCAAAAUGGCAUAAGGACAAUAAAGUCAAGGUAUUGGAGUUACCAUCACAAAGCCCUGACCUCAAUCCUGUAGAAAAUGUGUGAGCAGAACUGAAAAAGCGUGUGCCUGACUGAGUCACACCAGCUCUGUCAGGUGGAAUGGGCCAAAAUUCACCCAGCUUAUUGUGGGAAGCUUGUGGAAGGCUACCCAAAAUGUUUGACCCAAGAUAAACAAUUUAAGGCAAUGCUACCAAAUACACUCAAUUAGUAUGUAAACUUCUGACCCAGUGGGAAUGUGAUGACAGAAAUAAAUCAAGGAAAUAAAUCACUCUCUACUAUUAUUCUGGCAUUUCACAUUCUUAAAAUAAAGUGGUGACCUAAAACAGGGAAUUUGUGGUGACCUAACUGACCUAAAACAGGGAAUUUGUACUUGGAUUAAAUGUCAGGAAUUGUGGAACUGAGUUUAAAUGUAUUUGGCUAAGGUGUAUGUAACCUUCCGACUUCAACUGUAUGUGUGUAUAUAAACUCAGCAAAAAAAGAAACGGGCCCUUUUCAGGACCCUGUCUUUCAAAGAUAAUUCGUAAAAAUCCAAAAACUUCACAGAUCUUCAUUGUAGAGGGUUUAAACACUGUUUCCCAUGCUUGUUCAAUGAACCAUAAACAAUUAAUGAACAUGCACCUGUGGAACGGUCAUUAAGACACUAAUAGCUUACAGAUGGUAGGCAAUUAAGGUCACAGUUAUGAAACCUUAGGACACUAAAGAGGCCUUUCUACUGACUCUGAAAAACACCAAAAGAAAGAUACCCAGGGUCCCUGCUCAUCUGCGUGAACGUGCCUUAGGCAUGCUGCAAGGAGGCAUGAGGACUGCAGAUGUGGCCAGGGCAAUAAAUUGCAAUGUCCAUACCAUGAGACGCCUAAGACAGAGCUACAGUGAGACAGGACGGACAGUUGAGUGUCCUUGCAGUGGCAGACCACGUGUAACAACACCUGCACAGGAUCAGUACAGCUGAACAUCACACCUGUGGGACAGGUACAGGAUGGCAACAACUGCCUGAGUUACACCAGGAACGCACAAUCCCUCCAUCAGUGCUCAGACUGUCCGCAAUAGGUUGAGAGAGGCUGGACUGAGGGCUUGUAGGCCUGUUGUAAGGCAGGUCCUCACUAGACAUCACUGGCACAAACCAACCGUCGCUGGAUCAGACAGGACUAGCAAAAAGUGCACUUCACUAACGAGUCGCGGUUUUGUCUCACCAGGGGUGAUGGUCAGAUUCACGUUUAUCGUAGAAGGAAUGAGCGUUACACCGAGGCCUGUACUCUGGAGCGGGAUCGAAGUGGAGGGUCCGUCAUCGUCUGUGGCGGUGUGUCACAGCAUCAUUGGACUGGGCUUGUUGUCAUUGCAGGCCAUCUCAACGCUGUGCGUUACAGGGAAGACGACAUCCUCCCUUAUGUGAUGUCAUGCUGGAGGGUCAUGUCAGGAUAAUGCCACCAGCCAUACUGCUCGUUCUGUGCGUGUUUCCUGCAAGUCAGGAAUGUCAGGGUUCUGCCAUGGCCAGCGACGAGCCUGGAUCUCAAUCUCAUUGAGCACAUCUGGGACCUGUUGGAUCGGAGGGUGAGGGCUAGGGCCAUUCCCCCCCCCCCCCCCAGAAUUGUCCGGGAACUUGCAGGUGCCUUGGUGGAAGAGUGGGGUAACAUCUCACAGCAAGAACUGGCAAAUCUGGUGCAGUCCAUGAGGAGGAGAUGCACUGCAGUACUUAAUGCAGCUGGUGGCCACACCAGAUACUGAAUGUUACUUUAGAUUCCCCCCCCUUUGUUCAGGGACACAUUAUUCAAUUUCUGUUGGUCACAUGUCUGUGGAACUUGUUCAGUUUGUCUGUUGUUGAAUCUUGUUAUGUUCAUAGAAAUGUUUACAUUUUAAGUUUUCUGAAAAUAACAGCAGUUGACAGUGAGAGGACGUUUCUUUUUCUUUGCUGUGUGUGUGUGUGUGUGUCUAUCAAACAUGACAAACAAAUGCCAACCGGUAACCUCUGACUCUCCAGGCAUCACCAUGGGGAAAGCCCUUUCCCUCCUGCCCAAGCAGGCAUGCCACGAAGACUCCCAGGACAGCCUGACCACCACCCAGGAGGAUGAUGGGAAGAGAGAGGAUGUGUCCCAGUUCCCCUACGUAGAGUUCACUGGCAGGGACAGCGUCACAUGUCCCAGCUGCCAGGGCACUGGGAGGAUACCUAGAGGCCAAGAGAACCAGCUUGUAGCAUUGAUCCCAUACAGUGACCAGAGACUCAGGCCCAGGAGAACAAAGCUGUAUGUGAUGUCCUCGGUGUUUGUGUGUCUGCUGCUGUCCAGCCUGGCUGUCUUCUUCCUGUUCCCUCGUACCAUAGACGUCUCCUACGUGGGCGUCAAGUCGAUCUUCGUCACCUAUGACGAGGACAAGAGGAUUGUCUAUCUCAACGUGACGAACACUCUGAACAUCACCAAUAACAACUACUACAGUGUAGAGGUGUCCAACGUCACAGCCCAGGUCCAGUUCUCCAAGACAGUGAUCGGGAAGUCCCGCAUCAAUAACAUCACUGCUAUCAGUCCUCUGGGCAUGGAGCAGGUUGACUACAUGGUUCCCACCAUUCUAGCAGAUGAGAUGAGCUACAUGUAUGAUUACUGCAGCCUGCAGACCAUAAAGGUGCACAACAUCGUUGUCAUGAUGCAGGUGACGGUGACGACGAUGUACUUUGGCCACAUGGAGCAGGUCACUCAGGAGAUGUACCAGUAUGUAGACUGUGGAGGUAACACCACCACUCUGAGGGGGGCGCAGCCCAAGGUGUCUAAUGCCCCAAUACCCCCAGAGUAACCCCCCUUGCUCUACCUCACCUGAGCCGGCCCUGGAGAAGGUCCUUGGAAGCUAGUCUUACAUCAGAAAUCUGGCAGAACUACUGGUUGUUUAGGCUUGUGCUCCAGCCCUUCUCUAACACGGCUGGUCAGUUGAAGAAGGUAUGUUCGAGCAGGGAUACGCGUUUGCACCCAGUAGCUCUCCGGGAGGAGAGUUGGCCACCCCAGCCGUAGAUGGAUCACUGUUUUUCUCUCCACCACCCGUCUACCGAUGAAGACCCCACUGUAGAUGUCAUGUAUUUCUGUGUUCGCUCACCAUUGUGUUGGGAGUAUAUGCCAGAUGGGCAAUGGAGGGGGAAAAUGUGUCUACUGACAAAAAUAGUGUUUUUUUAGACAUUAAAAACAAUUAAGUACCAUAAUGUUUCAGUACCAAACCAUUAUGCACUUUAUUAAUGCAUUUAACAUUCAACUUCUCAUUGUGUUAAUGUAAAAUGUUACGAAGCCACUCCACACUCCUCCAAACCACUUGAACAGUAGAUGUCUGAACUAAUAAUCCUCAGUCUAUGGAAGAGGAUAACCUCAGUUCUCUCAGUAAUCUGGGCUCAAAUCUGUAUCUCUAUGAUAGUCAAAGGAGUUGAACCAACAGAUCUGGGACCAGUCAACUAUUCUCAGUCAGACCUCACGUAACACAUUAAUAAUGUGUAUUAUUUAAUUCUGCUGAUAAGUCAGAGGCACAGUGAGCCAAGUCUGAAAUGACACCUAUGACUAUAGAACACACUACUAGGUCUCUAGCCAAAGGUAGUGCGCUAUAUAGGUUUCUCAAACUAAACUCUGGACCUCAAAGCCAGUUCCACUGCGUUUUGUUCAUGGUCCCUUCUAAUCUGGGACUGAUUUUAGACCUGGAACAACAGGUGUGUGCAAUUUAAUUGUCAGGUAGAACAGAAAACUAGCAGGCUCUGGACCUCGUAGGGAGAGUUGAAUAGCCCUGGUAUAGGGGAUAGGGUGGUGUUUGGGGUGAAGCCAGAAUGUGGCAUUUCUCAUAUGUAUAAGCUUGUAAUGACCAGGCUCUCCUCUAGAGGCCUCUCUGUACAAUCUGGAUUUGGACCAGUUGUUUACUAAUAUUAGCCUCUGUUGGGUGAUCAAACUGUGUUAAUGUGUGAUCUAUUGAUUGAAUUGAAAGGCUUAUGUCCAUAAAAUGGAGUCAUUUUAAAGAAAUUAAGUUAUUAAAAGUCCCUUCCACCACUCUGUUCCCAAUUGGUACAAUAACAAGAUUGAUUGAUAGUCAUUCAUUAUCAGUAAUUUACCUCUUCCUUCUGAGUUCGUGCCUACGAGGGACUCGCAUAAUGUUUUGUGAUACCAACCUACUGCUGACUUGAAUUCGACCAACUUAGUUUUUACAUGCAUAAAGAGGAUCACCGGCAAGGGACUUUGUACGUUUUUGAUAAAUGACUUCCCUGCAUAUCAAACUCAGUUGAAGAGUUUAGAACUACCUAGAUUUAAUACCACGUUUGUAAUAUGAUUCCUACCUACAUUGCGGAAAACCUUUUUGAAAUGUACAACUCAAAUAGAAACUACCCUCUGUCAUAGAAAUAUACCUUGAAUUUCUUUAUGAAUUCUCAUACCUAGUAGUUUGCCGUUAUCUAAUUUGCAAUUUCCUAGGUUAUCGUAGAGCACAACAUUUAACAUGUGUACAGUCAUUUGUUCCUAAUCAAUUAAUCUUGUAUGGAAGAGUGGAUCAGCUUUUGAAUGACUGUUAGGAUUGAGUGAAGACUUGCAGUACUACUGACAUCAACUAGAAGAGUGGUUUGAGCUGAUGAGGCUGUUCUUCCUAAUGUCUACUACUGCUGUGGGGUACUGACAUUUAUUUUGAUUAACGGUAUUUGACUAAAUGUAAAUACAAGAAAUUUUUUUAAAUGUACAUGUAGUUGUGUUUUUAUUUGCUUUUCAUCAUGAUACAUUCAAAAUGGUUGAUCACGAUUUGUCCUACCUAGUUUUAUUGCGUGGUUACCCUUUCUGAAAGCGUGAAUAAAGUUUUCGACAUCUCAUUUGUCUCUUGUAUUUUCUUCUGUCUUUGUUCAUGCCUUUUUAUUUAACCAACCUCAGAGGAACUGGUAAGAAAUGGAACACACGUGCAAAUUAGCGCAUGAAUCAGUGUGACAUCACAAUUCACUCACAAUGCACUCAUGAACCCAUAGAAUUGUAAUCAUACUGCAAAACUUGUCUCCUGAGCAGAAGUGAACUCACACAAUGUUGCCAUGGGGACAGUUGACAGCCAGUGGGGACAGUUUUUACAUCAUAAACACCAUAUGUGACGUCAAACACCUGUCUGCAUAAAUAGCCUGUUUUGGCACAUUUAAUUUCCCUAGGUGGCUGAAGGUACGUUGGUAACCAUGCACUUUCAGCCCAAUUUGGAAGAUGAUCUUCCUUUUGCCUUACAGCUAGAACAUGGGCAGACAGGGAAAUCUGGAGGAAUUUGCAUCCAGAGAGUAGCUGGCUUCAAUCUAGUAUGUUCUAUACCCAGGACUAUUGUGCCCUUGGGCAAAGCACGUACCGCCAGCUGACCCUAUGCUGCUCCCAGCCUGUCGUGUGUGUGGUGCGUGUGUCAGGUUGGGUCCUUUGCUUUGACAGCAAAUAUGAAAAGAAUGUUUCUGCGAAUAGUAUUGUAUAUUACACAUAUUGUAGUUUCUUUUUGCAUUUUGUGUAUGCAGGAUCAGCAGUGACAUUACUUGUGAACAAUGCUGCCCCUGCCCCUUACAGUGCAGGUGGGGUAUACCAGAUGUACCACGCAGCACCAUCAGCCUCCUGGCACGGUCUUCCUGUGUACCAAGGCCCCCCACCUCACCAGCUGGCCUUGACCACUUCAGAGAUACACAGGGAGACUAUUCCCAUGGGUCCUGUUGAAACACCUGAGACAAGCCAGCAUCAGGACAUUUUAGACUUGAGCCAGAGUUCAGAGUCUUCUGAGCCACCCAAGAGGAAGAGAAAGAAAAAGAAGAAGAAGAAGAAGCAUGCUGCACCUAAACAGAGGGACCCACAUGGCAGCUUUGAUUGGACCAGCCAAGAACACAGCACUACAGAGAAGUACAAGAGGAUAAUGUCACUGCUGAGGAAAGACGGGGUGGAGGUGGUGGAUGAGACAGGUACUAAGGGACUAACAGACACUGACAGUGAGUCUGACCAACAUGUGAAUCAAAUGAGGAGAAAGAGAGCAGUGAGUAAAGGAAAAAAACAGAGCAUCAAAGGGAAAAAAGCAACAGUGAAAAGUAGGAGCCGAAACCAGGCUAACCGACUAAACCGAGACAAUGGAGAUUUUCAGCAAUCUGACAUAUCCUCAUCUCUGCUGGAGACACAGGCCGUUGGGCCUGCACUGGAGCGGUUAUUCUACCUACCAGCAGAGGGCAAUGAUGGGGAAGACCUGCUCGCCGAAGUGUUGGAAGAGCUCUCAGGGGUUCCAAGAUACCCAGACCUCUCAGAGGAAGCUUUGAGCAACAUGACCCUAUCACAAUAUGCCACUCUCAUGAACAUGUUCCCCCAUCCGCAGCUUCCGCCCUUACCCGUACCCUCCUUCCUCCCUCUGCGACCUAACGUCGGCCCAGUCUAUAGAGAGACUCCAGAGUUACUCACACCAUCUACCCACUGCGACUGGGUCACCCAUGGCAACCCCAGUGAUGCCAGCAACACCAAUACAGUUGGCCAUUUUGAGGACCACUAUCCUGCCUCUCCAGAACCUCAGCAGCCAGGUGAUUCCGACUACACCAAUACCUACAGCCGUUUUGGCAACCCUUCAGCUAUAACUCCAGAACCCCUGCAGCCAGGUGACUACACCAAUACAGGCAACCAUUUGGAAGACCAACACAUUGCCUUACCUGACAAUGUGGUUAGCCAGUUUUUGGAGUCUGACUAUAUUUCCCCUGAGCCUGCCUCCUCCCCAGAGCCAGAGCUUCAGCCUUUAGUGCUGAGUGUAGAGAGGGAGCCAAUGAAGAGAGAGGCCCAGAGACUGAGGCAGCAGACAGCCAGGAUGACGUUAUAUGGCCUGGACCACAACCCACUGGCCGACAGAGAGGACUUCACACUGGAGCGCUGCCUGGACAUGUUUACUGACUGAAACACAGUGACUGUGACUACGGAACAAUAACCUCAGGAAAUCGUUUUGGGAUUUUUCACCAAUAAACAUUUGGAAUAAAGGCAACGCUCUGCUGUUGUUAAUUCUAAUCUAACGUACAUUUGUUUACACUUUAUAUAAUCUGUUGUAGGGAAUAUAAUAGAAUACCAUCAUAAUAGAUUGGCUAGUGUACAUACCGUCACACUGUUGGCUAGUUCAUUUGCUAGUCAUUUUGAUAUCUCCAUGUCUCAGGGAAAUGAAAUGUAGUUGGUGGAUUUACAGUUGAUAUCAGGCAGCGAUGAUGAUAACAUAUCAAGAUAAGGGAGAAAGACAAAAUGCUAGAUUUAUCUCCGCACUCGUUUUCUGCUGUUGGAACUGUGGCUGUCGUUCGAAACAGUCCUCUGAUUUGAAGGCCUGUGUGUGUAGGCCUUGUCCUCUUAAGGCUGAGCACCCCAAAGUACACAACAGGACAGGGCCAGACUUUUGUUCACAUGGAGACCCAAUACGAAGACAUAAUAUCGAACCCAAUCAAGCACAUGAUUCACCUUGUGAAACAUGCUGACUCAGAAGAAAGCCUAAAUAUCCUUAAUAAAAUUGAUUAGUGGUGGAAAAAGCACCCAAUUGUCAAACUUGAGUAAAAGUAAAGAUACCUUCAUAGAAAAUGACUCAAGUAAAAGUGAAAGUCACCCAG